AGAAGAUGAAGGGGCCCGAGGUCAUGGCCUUCAUCGAGCAGGGCAAGCGGAUGGAGUGCCCGCCAGACUGUCCGGCUGAAAUGUACGCGCUCAUGAGCGACUGCUGGAUCUACAAGUGGGAGGACCGUCCGGACUUCCUGACUGUGGAGCAGCGCAUGCGGACCUACUACUACAGCUUGGCGAGCAAGGCUGAGGGCCCCCCGGAGAGUGAGAAGGGGGCCAAAGCUGCCAGUGCCUGAGCACCCCCUGCCCAGGGCCUGCGGGCGCCUAGGCCCAGCCUUUUCCUCUGUGCCUUCAGUCCCAUCCCUGGAUUCGUGUGGCCGGGCCAGGACAGUUCCUCCCCGCAGCUGGGCUGUGAGUGGGAAGCUGAGGCCGAGGCCCACGCUGGUUAGGCAUGUCCUGCCUGGUCACCCAUCCUUUCUGGCUGGGGGAGGAGGGAUGCCCUGAGAUGGGGGUGGGGUUGUGUAGCCUGGCCCUGGGUGGGUAUGUACUGGGGGGCCCUGAGCCGAGGGGUGCUUACAACAAGGAUCCUCCUUCCUUGUCCUGAAGGGGAGGACUCUGGGAGUCUUCAGGUGGCAAGACCUUAACCAUGGAAUAAAUCAGCUUCUCUCUUG